rnacentral:rRNA from 1 species
CUUUACUGUAGCUUUGCAUUGGACUUUGACGGGACUUGUGUAGGAUAGGUGGGAGGCUGUGAGGCGUGGUCGCCAGAUCGCGCGGAGCCGACGUUGAAAUACCACCCUGGUGUCGUUGAGGUUCUAACCUUGGUCCGUGAAUCCGGAUCGGGGACCGUGCAUGGCAGGCAGUUUGACUGGGGCGGUCUCCUCCCAAAGUGUAACGGAGGAGUACGAAGGUCUUCUAAGCACGGUCGGACAUCGUGCUCAUAGUGCAAUGGCAAAAGAAGGCUUGACUGCGAGACCCACAAGUCGAGCAGGUGCGAAAGCAGGUCAUAGUGAUCCGGUGGUUCUGUAUGGAAGGGCCAUCGCUCAACGGAUAAAAGGUA